rnacentral:rRNA from 1 species
UACGUAGGGUGCAAGCGUUAAUCGGAAUUACUGGGCGUAAAGCGUGCGCAGGCGGUUUUGUAAGUCUGUCGUGAAAUCCCCGGGCUUAACCUGGGAAUGGCGAUGGUGACUGCAAGGCUAGAGUUUGGCAGAGGGGGGUAGAAUUCCACGUGUAGCAGUGAAAUGCGUAGAGAUGUGGAGGAACACCGAUGGCGAAGGCAGCCCCCUGGGCCAAAACUGACGCUCAUGCACGAAAGCGUGGGGAGCAAACAGG